GUUGGAAGGGACCCAGUAGGAUCAUCAGGUCCAAUUCCUGGACUCCACAGAGUAACUUAGUGGAAGUUUUCUGUUGGGUUUUCAGAUUUGUACUCACUGGCAAGAUGUUAAUUGUGUCACUGAGGCUCCUGCACCCAGAAAAGACAGCUGAUUUAUCUGAUGUUUGCAGCAACAAUAAGGGUGGAAGUCUGGGAAACAAAAGAUGUGUAUCAGAGCCCCUCAAGGAGCAAGUUUUUGAAAGCUUUUUUUUCCUGGGGCUGUUCAGGAUUCACCAGAAGAACUCAGAUGUUACCAAACCCAUUCAGAGCUUAGAUGGACAUGGAACAUCACUGGGUCAGUUCUGCAGCUAAAGAUCAGGUUUCUGGGGACUUGUAGAUUUUGGAUGAUGUGGAAUGGCCUUUUAGAUAUACAAACAACAGAGCAAACCCACCCCAAACCUGAACAAAACGUGCACAGAUCAGAAAGAAAAAUAAGUGCACUACCAAAGGAGUCUGGAGGUGGCUGAUUUGUUCAGUUUUAAGUGAUAUGGAAUUCAUGCCUGGCACCUGAAGGCUCUGUGAUUUCAAGCAGGUUUUGCUUUGAGAUUGAAACCAAAAUUGAAAGCAAAAUAUUUGGAUCAAGAAGUGAAAUAUUUCAAAAAAGACUAAAGGAAAUGUCUGUGUAACACUCAGCAAGAGACCCCCACCUGGCUUUUUGCUCAGCCCCCCUGCUAAGCCUCAUGUA